rnacentral:ncRNA from 2 species
UUCAUAGGGAAGAUAGUUGGUGUCAGUUGAGACACAUCUUAAGAUGUGUCUCAACUGGUGAAAAGGGAAACAGGUGCAAUUCCUGUACGAUCUCGUCACUGUGAUUAGGGAGUACACUUCCAAGAGGCGCACUGAACAAUGUUUUGUUUGGGAAGGCGGAAGUGAUGCGAGGAUCUAUCAGCCAGGAGACCUGCCAAUUAUCUGGUACAGCA